rnacentral:rRNA from 1 species
GACGAGGGGUCCAAGCGUUGUUCGGAAUCAUUGGGCGUAAAGCGGGUGUAGGUGGCUCUGUAAGUCAGGAGUGAAAGCCCCGAGCUUAACUCGGGAAGUGCUUUUUGAUACUGCAGAGCUUGAAUGUGGGAGAGGGUAGUGGAAUUCCUGGUGUAGCGGUGGAAUGCGCAGAUAUCAGGAGGAACACCAAUGGCGAAGGCAGAUCUCUGGGCCGUAACUGACGCUGAGGAGCGAAAGCAUGGGGAGCGAACAGG